AAAGUGAAAGACGGUCUUGCUGUCACUUAUAGAUGGAUCCGCGCUGCAUUAGCUAGUUGGUAAGGUAACGGCUUACCAAGGCAACGAUGCAUAGCCGACCUGAGAGGGUGAUCGGCCACACUGGAACUGAGACACGGUCCAGACUCCUACGGGAGGCAGCAGUAGGGAAUCUUCCGCAAUGGGCGAAAGCCUGACGGAGCAACGCCGCGUGAGUGAUGAAGGUCUUCGGAUCGUAAAACUCUGUUAUUAGGGAAGAACAUAUGUGUAAGUAACUGUGCACAUCUUGACGGUACCUAAUCAGAAAGCCACGGCUAACUACGUGCCAGCAGCCGCGGUAAUACGUAGGUGGCAAGCGUUAUCCGGAAUUAUUGGGCGUAAAGCGCGCGUAGGCGGUUUUUUAAGUCUGAUGUGAAAGCCCACGGCUCAACCGUGGAGGGUCAUUGGAAACUGGAAAACUUGAGUGCAGAAGAGGAAAGUGGAAUUCCAUGUGUAGCGGUGAAAUGCGCAGAGAUAUGGAGGAACACCAGUGGCGAAGGCGACUUUCUGGUCUGUAACUGACGCUGAUGUGCGAAAGCGUGGGGAUCAAACAGGAUUAGAUACCCUGGUAGUCCACGCCGUAAACGAUGAGUGCUAAGUGUUAGGG
rnacentral:rRNA from 1 species